rnacentral:tRNA from 1 species
GGCUCUGUAGCUCAACUGAAAGAGUGCCUGACUACGGAUCAGGGGAUUCUGGUUUGAAUCCAGACGGAGUCC